rnacentral:rRNA from 1 species
GAUGAACGCUGGCGGCGUGCCUAAUACAUGCAAGUCGAGCGAAGCGGGGACGGGUGAGUAACACGUGGAUAACCUCCUCUAAGACUGGGAUCACUUCGGGAAACCUGAGCUAAACCAGAUACUUAUAGAUGGUUCCGCGCUGCAUUAGCUAGUUGGUAAGGUAACGGCUUACCAAGGCAACGAUGCAUAGCCGACCGGAGAGGGUGAUCGGCCACACGGGAACUGAGACACGGUGCAGACUCCGACGGGAGGCAGCAGUAGGAAAUCUUCCGCAAUGGGCGAAAGCCUGACGGAGCAAAGCCGCGUGAGUGAUGAAGGGCUUCGGAUCGUAAAACUCUGUUAUUAGGGAAGCGGUACCUAAUGAGAAAGCCACGGCUAACUACGUGCCAGCAGCCGCGGUAAUUC